UUUAAUAGUAUUCUGCCAGCACGUCACGGUAGAUGGAAGAGGCAUCGCUACGUCACAGUAGAUUUGCGAUGCAUCGGUCGAUGCAUCGGUCCCGAGUCCUUUUCCGCGUGAAAUCUACUGUGACAUCAGCAAAACCAUUGUUUUAGGGCCCACGUCACGGUAGAUUUUGCCGCUGAGCGAUGCAUUUUCCAUAAUUUUGUGAUUGUGGGCACAUGGCACCGAUGCAUUCAACUUUGAACUUCAAAGUUGAAUGCAUUGUUAUUUGAUCACUUGAUAUAACUCGCAAUCAUCGAUCGAAGUCAUGGCUGUCGAGAAUAUCAAACACGAUCUGUGUACUCUGCUUCGAGAAGAGAAGUCAUUUGAUAUUAAUGGAGUGCGCCGAACCUAUGAAACGAGAGCUGCUACUUUUAUUUCAAAAUCCUCUCCUUGGAAUCCCUUUUCAAAGGGUAAAAAUGGGAGAGAUAUGUCAAGUGAAAUGUUAAUACCUAAGCACUUGACAGUUCAUUGGCAAAGUGGAGAACUAAGAGCUUUAAAAACUAGAGGUGAUGGUAAUUGUCUGUACAGAGCCUGCUCAAAAUUACUUUGUGGCAAGGAAGACCUAUGUCAUUUGCUGAGAGACUUGACAAGCAUUGAGCUAUUCAAUCACCAGGAGUAUUAUGCUAACCACCCUUACUUAAAAGAUAAGUUGCAUUUUUUUAAGUCAGAAAAUACUGCUUUUCUGCAUCAGUAUCAGAUGUGGCUUUAGGCAAUGGCUAUGAUAGGAAAAAUCCAAGCACAAAGGUAAUAGUAGUUAAAGAGGAAGCUCUAAAUAAUGCAUGCAAUGGUACUUAUUCUUCACUUAUGUGUAUAUUUGGUUUGUCUUCUGUCACUGGAAUGACUAUAAUUUCAGUUUAUCCCGAAAAGUUGGACCAGGAGACCAAAUAUUCACAAUUUCUAAAUGGUAAAAUUCUUCCACGGCAAGCACACCAACAUAUUUCAAGUCAACUUGUUCAGCCUGCUAAGUUAAUUUUAAUGUGGACAACUACUGGUGCUUAUUCUCUUCCAGAAUUAGAUAUAGAAUUUCAACCCAAUCAUUUUGUACCACUAAUUGAAUUUAAUCAAACUAAUAACUCAAGAGUUAAUAAUAAAAAAAAAAUUACUGACCACUUUAAAGUUGAUGUCUUACAGAAAAAUAAAAGUGGACUUGAGCAACAAAUAGACACAACUUUGGUAGCACCUGCAAAAUCCUCACCAAGGGAAGACUUAGAUGGCAGCAGCUAUGAUUGCUUGAAGACUUCCUUAAAACGUGGGUUAAAUUAGUGAUUGUUCAUGUGCAAAUAUAUUUUAAUUAUAGGACCUCUUUCAUGCCACUUUAAAGAUGGAAAAGUAUCAAAUGCUUCUUGUCCCUUGUCAAAAUCUGUAAAAACUGAUAUGACAGAUGUUGAUCCCUUGGAUAUUGGACAUUUUGUAUCUGUGGCGGCCCUAGAUGACGACACAAAGCUAAGACUUAUAACAAAUCACUGGAAGCCUCCCC